GAUUCCCCCAGUAACUGCGAGUGAAGAGGGAAGAGCUCAUCAUUGGAAUCUGGCAGUGUUGCACUGUCCGAGUUGUAGAUGAGGAGUAGUUCAUCUGGACUGCAUGGCGUCCAAGUACAAUAGGCCGUCAGUGGGACAUCAUAGAGGGUGACAAUCCCGUCCUUGAUGCCAAUGUGCAAGUCCAUUACGAUGACUAUCUCAGAGAGUCGAGCAGUUUGGGAUUUGCUGCUUAAACAUGGGAGGUAGAUUCCUUCUAAAGCUAAAUACAGGCGAGAGACCGAUAGAGAACAAGUACCGCAAGGGAAAGAUGAAAUAGCACUCUGUGAAGGGAGUCAAAAGGCGUGAAAUUGUUGCGAGAGAAGCGAUUCAAGUCAGCGUAGCUAGGCCCAUCAAGCCUAUUGCUUUGGACUAGCUUUGCCAGCGGUCUUGUCCUUAGAGACUUGACUUGUAUGUCCAGCCUGGUAUGCACAGGUAGCCCCCCUUGGGGGUCAGUGACAUGGCUGGUGGAAUGGCUUGCAAUCGACCCGUCUUGAAACACGGACCAAGGAGUCUAACAUGUAUGCGAGUAUAAGGGUGGCAAACCCGUAUGCGCAAUGAAAGUGAUUUUCGAUGAUUGAGAAUGGCCUGAUGACCAGACAAGCAAUACAUGUCCCUCGUACGGCCAUUGCCCAAGUUCCGUGGUAGAUCCCAUGAACAUGGAGUUGGAGCAUACAUGCUAGGACCCGAAAGAUGGUGAACUAUGCCUGGACAAAGCGAAGCCAAAGGAAACUCUGGUGGAGGCUUGUAGCGAUUCUGACGUGCAAAUCGAUCGUCUGAUCUGGGUAUAGGGGCGAAAGACUAAUCGAACCAUCUCAUAGCUGGUUCCUGCCGAAGUUUCCCUCAGGAUAGCAGAGACCUAGUGGAAGUUGCAUGUGGUAAAGCGAAUGAUUAUUGAUCCUGGGGCUCAAAUGGGCCUCAGUCUAUUCUCAAACUGUGAAUGCGUGCGGUUGGACUGUGCUUAGCAAUAGAAG
rnacentral:rRNA from 1 species